GACGAACGCUGGCGGCGUGCUUAACACAUGCAAGUCGAGCGGUAAGGCCCUUUCGGGGGUACACGAGCGGCGAACGGGUGAGUAACACGUGGGUGACCUGCCCUUAGCUCUGGGAUAAGCCUGGGAAACUGGGUCUAAUACCGGAUAUGACUCCAUGACGCAUGUUGUGGGGUGGAAAGCCUUGUGCGGCUAGGGAUGGGCCCGCGGCCUAUCAGCUUGUUGGUGGGGUGAUGGCCACCAAGGCGACGACGGGUAGCCGGCCUGAGAGGGCGACCGGCCACACUGGGACUGAGACACGGCCCAGACUCCUACGGGAGGCAGCAGUGGGGGAAUCUUGCGCAAUGGGCGAAAGCCUGACGCAGCGACGCCGCGUGAGGGAUGACGGCCUCGGUUGUAACGU
rnacentral:rRNA from 1 species